rnacentral:rRNA from 1 species
GACGAACGCUGGCGGCGUGCCUAAUACAUGCAAGUCGAGCGCUCAAGGUUGGUACUUGUCCCAACUGGAUGAGCAGCGAACGGGUGAGUAACGCGUGGGUAAUCUGCCUUUGAGCGGGGGACAACAUUUGGAAACGAAUGCUAAUACCGCAUAAAAACUUUAAACACAAGUUUUAAGUUUGAAAGAUGCAAUUGCAUCACUCAAAGAUGAUCCCGCGUUUUAUUAGCUAGUUGGUAAGGUAAAGGCUCACCAAGGCGAUGAUACAUAGCCGACCUGAGAGGGUGAUGGGCCACACUGGAACUGAGACACGCCCAAAACCCCUACGGGAGGAGCAGGAGGGGAACCUUGGGCAAGGAGGGAAGGCUGAACGAGGCAAGCCGGGGGAGGGGAGGAGGGUCUCGGAUCGGAAAAAUCCGGUGGUUGGGAAGAAAGAUAGGUGGAGGGGAAUGCGCAUGACUUGACGGUAACUACUCAGAAAGCGACGGCUAACUACGUG